rnacentral:rRNA from 1 species
ACAGCACCGCCGCGGGAACACGAAGGGUGCAAGCGUUACUCGGAAUUACUGGGCGUAAAGCGUGCGUAGGUGGUGGUUUAAGUCCGUUGUGAAAGCCCUGGGCUCAACCUGGGAAUUGCAGUGGAUACUGGAUCACUAGAGUGUGGUAGAGGAUAGUGGAAUUUCCGGUGUAGCAGUGAAAUGCGUAGAGAUCGGAAGGAACAUCUGUGGCGAAGGCGACUAUCUGGGCCAACACUGACACUGAGGCACGAAAGCGUGGGGAGCAAACAGGAUUAGAUACCCGCGUAGUCCCUGUCUCUUAUACA